AGAGCCAUAUUAUGUCCUUGUGAUUCUGUUAAUUAUUACCUGUCUGUAUUAUGUUGCAGCUCAGCUGAUGUUGGAUUGAUGGCAAAGGGAGAGGGACUUAAGUGAGAGUGAAAACACAAGCACAAGAACCCCAGGGGGAUUCAAUGGAGCCUGAAGACCUGCAAUGAGACCCUCACCCUGAGCCUGAGUCUCAGCUCUCAGAGCUUUGCAAGCCUCUCCCUGUUCCUUAUUUUGAUUAAACAGACAUUAAGCUUCC